rnacentral:rRNA from 1 species
AAUCUUGCGCAAUGGGCGAAAGCCUGACGCAGCGACGCCGCGUGGGGGACGAAGGCCCUCGGGUUGUAAACCCCUUUCGGCAGGGACGAAGCGAUCGUGACGGUACCUGCAGAAGAAGCCCCGGCUAACUACGUGCCAGCAGCCGCGGUAAUACGUAGGGUCCGAGCGUUAUCCGGAAUCAUUGGGCGUAAAGAGCUCGUAGGCGGUUCAGCAAGUCGGCUGUGAAAGUCCGAGGCUCAACCUCGGAAUUGCAGUCGAUACUGCUGUGACUCGAGUCCGGUAGAGGAGAAUGGAAUUCCCGGUGUAGCGGUGAAAUGCGCAGAUAUCGGGAGGAACACCAGUAGCGAAGGCGGUUCUCUGGGCCGGCACUGACGCUGAGGAGCGAAAGCGUGGGGAGCAAA